rnacentral:sRNA from 1 species
GAUUAUGCUGAAGGCCUGUUUCCUAGACAACAGACAGAGGAUUUGUCCUCUGUGCCUAGGGGAAGAUUCCUGGACACAAGGCAGAAAGUGGCACUGUGUGCAUACACUCAGACUGUCCUCACUUCUCAAGUCUAUGAAGAAGCCAGAAAUGGGAGAGGAUAUGGACAAAAUAUUCACCAAAGAAGAGAUACAAAAGGCCAACAGACAUAUAAAGAAAUGCUUUGAAUAUAAUUUUCCUUGUUCUCUACUACAGCCUGAAUACUUGUGUCCCAACAAGUUCAUAUGUCAAAACCAAAUGCUCAGAGUGUAGU